CUUCCAUUCCCACAAGCACAGAUGCGUCCAUCACUGAGGCCAGAGGGUGAGACAACUAUGGGGCUGUGAAUAUCUUUCUAUUUAGUGUCGGUAAGAUCAUAGGUUCAGGUUGGAUAUUACAGCCCAAGGAACCCAUGAAACAUGAGGACAACACUGAAGUCCUUUGAGGCCCCAGUACUCCUUUGAAGAGGAAGAAUUAAGGCACCAAGAGCAGAAGCCUGGAGAGGUGAUGUGAUCACAGAGACACUCUCAAGGCUAGGAAACUCAGUCCAUUCCUUCUGACCACUUUCCCCUGCCACUGCCGACCUCCAGCCAUCAGCUUCCCUGACAGCCUGCUGUGGAUGCCGCUGCUGCUUCUGUCCUGGGGAAGACACCUUGGAAACAGCCCAUGUGCUCUUGAGUGAAGUCUAACCAAGAGCCCUGAUGUGACUCCGUGACUCUAACUGCUUGGAACAAAAUAGGGAACCCCAUUCUUGGUUCGUGGAGUCCGUGUUUCUGCUAGAGGUGAGAGAUCUCCUCUUUAUUAGCACGCCCAGGGCAAGGCCAAGGACUCUGCUGUUUCUCGUUAGCUACCCACAUUUCUUCUAUUAGCAGCAUCAGAAAGAACUUUGUGAGAAGAGAAGGGGGCUGGUGAGAAUUAAAUCAUACUUCUCAGGGCAGGGGAAUGGGCGGACUGAGGAGUUGUUCAUCACUCUGUAUCACUGUGCUCGUAUAGAGAUUGUAUAAAGUGUCAUGUGGCAGUUUUAUAUCUGGUUUUCCAGAGAUCGUCACUCAAGGGUAUUGCCAGACAGAAGGGUCUGUGUCCAAGUAAACUCUUAAACCAUCCCCUCAGGCCAGCCCUUUGUCCUUCCUCUCAGUGCAAAUAAAUGACUGCACAAAUCUAACCUUAAAAUGUGAUUGGUGCUAAUAUUUACUGGCUUAAAGAUAUUUAUGACACUUCUAUUUAGGUAUCAUUUUGUUCUCCCUAUCUUAAACAAAAUUGUUUUUGAUAUUUUAAUUUAAAAACAUACCACAAGGAACUUCUCCCAAGGUGGUGGUGAGAUUUUCUUUAUCAUAACUUCAGUUAAUAAAGCAUUUUGGGAUAAUGAAGGGUGAAAAUCACAGGAUAAAUGUAAAAAUUCUUAUAUUAAUGAAGCAUAACAUAUUAUUGGACCCUUCAUGGAAUUUUCCAUUGCCAAAUCAAGGCUCAUUAUUCUGCACCUGAGCACCACAAUCCCUAGAGUUCCAUGGCAUGUUUUAAUAAUAAGAGAAAUGUCCCAUUUUGUCUUAUAAAACCUAUUUUCCCUUUCUGAUGGGCUGUUUUUUUUUCCUCACUAGCUUUUAGUAUGGCCUCAGAGAUUCAUGCUUUCAAAUAUAAAUUCCCUUAAGACAUAUCUUUUUCAAUUGUGUGGGUUGAAGCAGGGUAGGGGGUUGCUAUUAUCUGAAAAACAGAUUAGCAAGUCUUGCCAGAAAAUUUGCAUUGGAGGAUGUGUAAUGAAAUA